ACUCCUACGGGAGGCAGCAGUGGGGAAUAUUGCACAAUGGGCGCAAGCCUGAUGCAGCCAUGCCGCGUGUGUGAAGAAGGCCUUCGGGUUGUAAAGCACUUUCAGUCGUGAGGAAGGUAGUGUAGUUAAUAGCUGCAUUAUUUGUACGUUAGCGACAGAAGAAGCACCGGCUAACUCCGUGCCAGCAGCCGCGGUAAUACGGAGGGUGCGAGCGUUAAUCGGAAUUACUGGGCGUAAAGCGCAUGCAGGUGGUUGUUAAGUCAGAUGUGAAAGCCCGGGGCUCAACCUCGGAAUAGCAUUUGAAACUGGCAGACUAGAGUACUGUAGAGGGGGUAGAAUUUCAGGUGUAGCGGUGAAAUGCGUAGAGAUCUGAAGGAUACCGGUGGCGAAGGCGGCCCCUGGACAGAUACUGACACUCAGAUGCGAAAGCGUGGGAGCAAACAGGAUUAGAUACCCCUGGUAGACUGUCA
rnacentral:rRNA from 1 species